rnacentral:rRNA from 1 species
UGGUACCUACGGGGGGCCGCAGUAGGGAAUUUUCGGCAAUGGGGGGCCCCCUGACCGCGCCCCGCCGCUUGCCUUCCUCCUUCCUUCGUUCUGUAAACUUCUGUUAUCAAGUAAGAAAGGCGGAUGAAGUAAAUGACAUCCGAGUGACGGUACUUUAUGAGAAAGCCACGGCUAACUACGUGCCAGCAGCCGCGGUAAUACGUAGGUGGCAAGCGUUAUCCGGAAUUAUUGGGCGUAAAGAGGGAGCAGGCGGCAGCAAAGGUCUGUGGUGAAAGACUGAAGCUUAACUUCAGUAAGCCAUAGAA